UACAGAGGUCUCAAGCGUUGUUCGGAUUCAUUGGGCGUAAAGGGUGCGUAGGUGGCGAGGUUAGUCAGGUGUGAAAUCUCGGGGCUCAACCCCGAAACUGCACUUGAUACUGCCUUGCUAGAGUACUGGAGAGGAGAUUGGAGUUUACGGUGUAGCAGUGAAAUGUGUAGAUAUUCGGAAGAACACCAGUGGCGAAGGCAGCGAACUGGCGCUCGAUUGACGCUCAGGCACGAAAGCAUGGGGAUCAAACAGG
rnacentral:rRNA from 1 species